GACGAACGCUGGCGGCGUGCUUAACACAUGCAAGUCGAACGGAAAGGCACUGCUUUUGUGGGGUUCUCGAGUGGCGAACGGGUGAGUAACAGGUGAGUAACCUGCCCUUGUCUUUGGGGUAACUUCAGGAAACUGGGGCUAAUCCCAGAUAGGAUCUCCUGCUGCAUUGUGGGGGUUGGAAAUUUUCGGCGGUUGGGGAUGGACGCGCGGCUUAUCAGCUUGUUGGUGGGGUAGUGGCUUACCAAGGCUUUGACGGGUAGCCGGCCUGAGAGGGUGACCGGCCACAUUGGGACUGAGAAAGGGCCCAGAGGGAUACGGGAGGCAGGAGUGGAGGAUAGUGCACAAUGGGCGGAAUCCGGAAGCAGCAACGCCGGGUGCGAGAUGACUGCCUUCGGGUAGAAAAAAGCUUUCGCCUGUGACGAAGCGGUAGUGACGGUAAUGAGUAAAGAAGCACCGGCUAACUACGUG
rnacentral:rRNA from 1 species